AGGUGAAAGCUUGCUUUUACUGGAGACUGGCGCUAGUAACGCGUAGAUACCUGCCUAUAGCUGGGGGAUAACACUGCGAAAGUGGUGCUAAUACCGCAUAAUGCAGCGGGGCCGCAUGGCCAUAGUUGUUAAAGGUUUCGGCCGGCUAUAGAUGGGUCUGCGUGCUAUUAGCUAGUUGGUAAGGUAACGGCUUACCAAGGGCGAUGAUAGCUAGGGGGUCUGAGAGGAUGAUCCCCCCACACUGGGACUGAGACACUGCCCAGACUCCUACGGGAGGCAGCAGUGAGGAAUCUUGCGCAAUGGGGCGAAAGCCUGACGCAGCCACGCCGCGUGCCCGAUGACGGGCCUACUGGGUUGUAAACCGGCUUUUCACUAGGGGAAGAAACGAAAGGGGUUUGAUCUCAGUACGGGACUAGU
rnacentral:rRNA from 1 species